rnacentral:rRNA from 1 species
UACGGAGGGGGCUAACGUUGUUCGGAAUUACUGGGCGUAAAGAGUACGUAGGCUGCCUAAUAAGUUAAGUGUGAAAGCCCUGAGCUCAACUCAGGAACUGCAUUUAAAACUGUUAGGCUAGAGGACAAAAGAGGGUAAUGGAAUUCCUAGUGUAGAGGUGAAAUUCGUAGAUAUUAGGAGGAACACCAGAGGCGAAGGCGAUUACCUGGGUUGUUACUGACGUUGAGGUACGAAAGCAUGGGGAGCAAACAGG